UUCUUUAAAUGAGGACUCGUAUCAACGGCAUCACGAGGAUCCUACUGUCUCCCCCCUCUAAUCGGUGAAACUGAUCUCUCCGUGAAGAAGCGGAGAUGUACAUAUAAGACGAGAAGACCCCAUGGAGCUUUAAACCCAACAACACCCGCCCCCCUCCAAAUCCUAUUAUUUACCCGGNGAUUGUUUGUUUGGUUUUAGGUUGGGG
rnacentral:rRNA from 1 species